GAGGGGCCCGCGGCCUAUCAGCUAGUUGGUAGGGUAACGGCCUACCAAGGCGAUGACGGGUAGCUGGUCUGAGAGGACGACCAGCCACACGGGGACUGAGACACGGCCCCGACUCCUACGGGAGGCAGCAGUGGGGAAUUUUCCGCAAUGGGCGAAAGCCUGACGGAGUGACGCCGCGUGGGGGACGAAGGCCUUCGGGUCGUAAACCCCUGUCAGGAGGAAAGACGGCUGUCGGCGCGAUAACCGCCGGCAGCUGACGGUACCUUCAGAGGAAGCCCCGGCCAACUCUGUGCCAGCAGCCGCGGUAAGACAGAGGGGGCAAGCGUUGCUCGGAAUCACUGGGCGUAAAGGGCGCGUAGGCGGGAUGGCGAGUCGGUUGUGAAAGCCUCCGGCUCAACCGGAGAACGGCGACCGAUACUGCCAUUCUCGAGGGUAGUAGAGGAGACUGGAAUUCCCGGUGUAGCGGUGAAAUGUGUAGAGAUCGGGAGG
rnacentral:rRNA from 1 species